UCACAGAACAUAUUUAAACCACCAAGUUUAACCACAAUAUAUUAUAGUCGAUCGUUAUAUUAGUCGUCUAACGCUUGGUCUCAUAAAUAACUAUCACGCGUUUUUUCUUGCAAAAAUAUUUCACCGUUUUUAACUCACGAGAAUAGUUACUUUGAAUAGUGAAAACGUAUUUAAUUCAAUGAGUAUAACCUUUUUCUCAAACAGAAACUUUUUCGGAAAAGUAAAUGAUUAAAAAGUGCGGGCUGCAUACAAGUAUAUUCGUGUAGUAACAACGUACUUAUGAGUAUUUUUGAGUGGUAAAACCUUCUGUUUGUAAAUUUGAGAUAUAAAAACGUUUAUUCAACAACAAGUACAAAAUACUCAUUUAGGAUUCACAAGUGCAAUUCACUUUGCACGUUUUAAAACAGUACGAUUAAAUAAAGAUUAUAAUUAUAAUUAUUACUACAUAAUAAAAAAAAGACAAAAGACAUCAAAAAAACGUAGCACUAAAAACUUUUGAUAUAUGCAAAUUUUUCACGAAUGUUUGAAUAUUACAUCGUACCACUUACUCAUGAAUUAGAAGGCAGUUCCACCCAGCAUGGAGGACACUUUCCCUGGCAGCAGGGCUUUUAUCAGGCAGGCAUUCACGGCCCGAGGAGUGCCACCAGAAGCAAUAGAUACCACUAUGGCAUCUUUACCAGAAUCAACUAUCAAACAGUACACUAAACCUCUUCGCAGCUGGUGGCUGUUCUGUAAAGCGGCAUCUGCUUCUAUAUGGUCACCAACCCCGAAGCAGCUCCUUCAAUUUUUAGCUCAGGAGCUAAUCCAAUCAAACUCUUACUUGGUAAUUAACAACACCCGAUCUGCAAUAUCUUUGAUUUCAGACAACCAGAUUAGAAACCAUAGAUUAAUCAAGCGAUUCUGUAAAGCAGUAGGGGUUCUUAAACCUCCUCGCCCUCGAUACGAUUACGUGUGGGACCUGGCCCCAGUCCUAGAGAAACUCGCGACGUUAUACCCGUAUGACACAUUAUCUCUAGACGUAAUCACAAAGAAGUUAGUCCUCCUCCUCGCUCUGGGUACAGGCCAUAGAGUACAAACGCUCACAUCAAUCAAAGUUUCACAAAUAUCUAUUGAGGAUAAACUCAUAAUCGGGGUGCCAGACAGAUUAAAAACCUCUGCACCAGGACAAUCUCAACCUCUAUUCAUUUUUUCUCCAUUUAGAGGUAACAAGGGCUUGUGCAUUUUUACUUUAAUGAAGAUCUAUUUAGAAGCUACUAAAAGCCUUCGAGUACCUUCCUGUAACAAGUUAUUCAUCUCCUGGUCAAGGCCAUAUACCCAGUAGGCCAUCAGAUAGUUAGUCGAUGGAUAAGAUCGAGCCUAGAAGAGUGUGGAGUAAGGUCUCAUUUCUUUUCCGCACAUAGCACACGUCAUGUUUCCACUUCAUCAGCGGCACAGAAGGUUGUAUCUUUAGAAACUAUUAAACGCGCGGCAAGAUGAACAGGCCAAUCGCGAGUGUUCGCAUCUUUUUACAACCGUCCUCUAAUAGACUCUGAGAAGUUUUCAAAUACGGUGUUAACCCGAUAAGAUCACCCCAUUGUUUUCUAUGCGUUGCAUUACAUUAUUGUAAGAGCUUACAUGUUAUUUAAGUCUUCUUAUAAAUUACGGAUUUGGACCAAUAGGUGUAUAAAGGUUUUUUACAACAAGAACAUAAUAUUACGAUUCAAUAAAGUGCAAAUCACCAGGAUCUAAACAACCACAUUAUUGUCCACAUUCGGACGAGACACCCUAAGCAUAAUUGAUAAAUCAAACGAACUUACCAAGUGAAGUUCGAUUUGAAUUAUGCCGGGUGUCUCGUCCGGAUGGACUUUCCACCCUGCAAUUAGAAACUCUUUCUCCCACCCGGUAAAUUAUUUUUAGGUGAUUGGCAAUCUAAACUAAUGAAGUUAGCGCCAAGAAAGGGCGCCGUUAUCGGCGCAUGGCGCACUGUCACGAAACACGUGACCUCUCUGCCUUUUUUGAAAUUUUUAGGCAGAUCUAAAACUGUUGGGCGUAGCACACGCAGAGACAUAACAUAAUUAUUGUCUAUCCGGACGAGACAACCGGCAUAAUUCAAAUCGAACUUCACUUGAAUUUUCUAUCCUGAUGUAAAACAAUGAUUCUGAUCGAGAUGCUGCUAGAAUAGUCUCCGGCGAAAAGAAAGGCGCAUUAAUUCCUGAUAUAUCUAAAUAUCCUUUAGCAUAAUCAAUUUUUGAGAAUGUUUUGGAAAUUCGCUUGACACGAUGUGGAAAAUUACUUCCUUUUCAAAAAGAAUUAAGGUAACUUCUAACGUAUAUACCGAAUAUUUAUUUAUGCCAAAUAUUUAAUUAAUUUUAAUAUGUUAUAGUAAUUGACAGUUUUGCCAGCGGUUACAUUUUCUUUAAUUAUAUUCAGUCCACACACGGUAUCCAACCACUGCAUAUUAAUUUUAUGUGGGGGUAGAUUCAUCGAAUUUUACCUGAAUAGUGGGCACGCGACUUUAUUUGUCUAGAUUUAUGGUUACGGGUUGAACUUCCAACAAAAUUUCAUUUACUGAGUUUUUUGUGAUAUAGAUGGGUGUGAAAUCCGCUCGGACCCCUGCACACUCGACUUGGAGGGGCUGUUGAAAUUUCCCUGAUUACCUGCUUUUCUACGAUUAUUACUAGCAAUGCGUAACUUGCAAUUUUUGAGAAAAUGCCCUGCUUCUUUACAAUAACGGCAGAUUAAUGAAUCGUUUCUCGUCGUGUUUCUCUUUAAACUAGAUCGACAGUUUUUUGCGUGGCCAACAUGUUGCAAAUUUGACGAACUAAUUUUGAUGAAUUUUUAUUUUCUUUUUUCCAGCAAUUGUUUGCUGUGUGACCCGUUUUCUCACACCACUGACAAACUACUAAGAGUUUAUUCUGAUUAUUAAAUUUAUUAGCUCGACAAGAUUUUGCAUUAUGUCCGGUUUUUGAACAUAAUUGACAUACAUCCUGUAUUAUUUUAACGGAUUGACGAGCUUGAGGGUCGCGCAAUUGACACUUAUCGGCACCGUGCACGCGUUUUUUACAUAUCUGACAAAUUUAAAAUUUUGGCGCCUAAUUUUAAAUUGUUUGAGGCUUGCUGAAAUAAAGGUGUUAAUUUUUUACACUUGGAAGACGAAUGCCCUAUUUUGUAACAAAUUUGACAAGUUUCUGGUGGCCGAAUGAUAUUUUGCGUUUGACUUGAAGUGCUGCCCUGUCGUAAAUCAGUUAUUAAUUCUCUUUCUAUACGUAUUGCAUCUGCUACGGUCUCUUGAACAUUCUGAUUUCUUGCGAUUCUUUGUUCUAUUUCCGAUUUUAAACCUUUAAUAAAACAUCUACUUAUAUCUUUUUUUAAAGAAGUUUUCACAUUUUGGUCUACGGAACUAUUUCCCCAAGUUUUAUAUGCUUCUAAUAUCUGUUUUCCCAACAGUUUUACUCGAUUCGCGUAAGUAACAACAUUUUCUUCGUUUUUCUAAUAAAUGUACCUAGCUCCCCUUGCAAUUGAUAUACCCCUUGCAAUUGAUAUUUGAAUGGACCAUAAACUUGUUUAAAAAAUGCAGUUAAUCCAGCAACACUGUCGAAAUUCUGAUCUUAAAUUGUACGGCACGCUUCGUCUACAAUUCUGGUUCUGAUAACUCGAGCAAACUGAGGUUUAGACUUGCUAGGAAGAAUGGAUUUUGCUUCUUCGCAUCCUUCAAUAAAGUAAGAUAAAGCCAUAUUUUGGCCAUCGAAGAAGGGGACGGCUUCUACCGCGUAUUUUAGAGUAGCAAAGUUAUUUUGAUUAGCCAUCGUUUUACUUAUUUUCAAGUAUCGCAUCGUCGUAGGAAUCGUCUCCGGUAUCACCUGAGCCGGACAAGAGUGGGUUUGUGCCGAAAGUUCUGGAUUCUUCCCCCGAAAAUUUAAUUUUUUGAGCUGGUUCCCGGGUUUUCCACGAACGCUCGAAGGAUCCUCUCCUCAUCUUGUACGCAAACUUGCAUUUGUUGACCACGGUCUUGCCGAGAAUGCAACACCAAGAUUUGCAUCUCUUCUUGCUUCACCAUAAAUUAUCACCAUUUCGAUGUAUUCCUCAGCACUAUAUUCCGCCAUUUGAUUGCAAUAAAUAACGAUGAUACCCGACGGAAGCACCUCAAGAUACCCAAAGACAUGCAAAACACGUUGAAGUGUAUAAAACAAGAAAAUUCAAUAAGAACACUGGCGUCGCCGCACUUAGGCGGAAGAUUAACAAACAGCGAUACGAGCGUUGUUUUUGAAUAUCAUUUGUUAUUUUAUAGACUUCAUCGUGUUUUGCGUGUCUUUGAAUAUCUCGAGGUGCUUCCGUUGUGUAUCAUCGCUGUGUAUCGUUAUUUGUUGCGAUCAAAUGGCAGAAUAUAGUACUGCGUAAUAUACCGAAAUGGUAAUAAUUUAUGGUGAAGCAGGAAGAGACGCAAAUCUUGCUGCUCGCAUGUACGCUGAACAAUUUCCCAACCGAGAACGACAUUCCGAUUCUCACGUUAUUUUGCGAUGCAUUCAACGUUGCUGGGAAAGAGGAUCGGUGUUGCAUUCUCAGCAAGACGGUGGUUGACAAAUGUAAGUUCGCGUACAGGAAGAGAGGAUCCUACGAGCGUUCGAGGAGGAUCCCCGGAACAGCGUGCGUCGUGCUGCUCGUGCGCUGGGUUUAUCACGAGACGUGGUGCACCGUAUUCUUUGCCGCAACGGAUUGCACCCGUACCACUAUCAGCGGGUGCAACAAAUUUUUGCGCGAGAUGCAGAGCAGCGCAUUUACUUUUAUGAAGGUGUUCUUAUUAUUUUCAUAAAAUGUUUGCGCUAGUUAUAAGAAAUAUUAACUGCUGGCUAAAUGAAUAUAGGAUUGCUCGCGCAGUGUCGGUGAAAUGACCUUUUCCCCGACCGCAUCCCGUGGACGGACGAAGCGAUCUUCACAUGGAACGGCGUGUUCAACUCUCAUAAUCGAGUAUUAUGGGCAGAUGAAAAUCCGCACGCCAUUCGGCAAGGAGCCUUCCAGUAUCGGUGGUCCAUAAACGUAUGGGCAGGAAUAAUAGCGGACCGAAUUAUUGGUCCUUAUUUUCUCCCAUUUCGCACUGGGCUGAUUUACGUACAUUUCUGGAAAAUGUGUUACCCGCUCUUUUGGAAGAUGUUCCCCUUCGCGAACGGUCGGAAAUUAUUUAUCAGCACGACGGGGCUCCUGCACAUUUUUUGCAGCAAAAAACGAGGGAACGAGCAGCUUAGAGCGACGAUCUAGCACCGUUUGCCGCUCGCGAGUGCCCAUUGCUACUUCUCCCUCCUUGCCGCGCCGCUCGCAGGCCACAGCUACUGCUGCUUUUCCCUCCUCACCGCACAGUGCCGCGCCUACAACCGCGGCUGCCUACGUCUCGGCG